rnacentral:rRNA from 1 species
UACGUAGGGUGCAAGCGUUGUCCGGAAUUAUUGGGCGUAAAGGGCUCGUAGGCGGUCUGUCGCGUCGGCUGUGAAACUCGGGGCUCAACCCCGAGCCUGCAGUCGAUACGGGCAGACUAGAGUGCUGUAGGGGAGACUGGAAUUCCUGGUGUAGCGGUGAAAUGCGCAGAUAUCAGGAGAACACCGGUGGCGAAGGCGGGUCUCUGGGCAUUACCUGACGCUGAGGAGCGAAAGUGUGGGGAGGCGAACAGG